rnacentral:misc_RNA from 1 species
UCCCAUUUGAGCUUGGAUUGCAAAGGAAGACCCAUCAAUUCUUUUAAGGGUUCGGGACUGAUCACAACAUCGUUCCGCAGCUCGCUAAAACCCAACACAAGCUUUGGGCUUGCGUUUUUAUCUGCAGCAAUUGCUCCUAAGUAGCCAAACCUCGGACAUACAAUACGUUCCUAUGAUCUUAUCUAAAAAGGGUCUGCCAAUGUCUUCGCCAACAAACACACAAAACACUCGUUCUGGGAAUCCUCGACACCCAACAGCAUUGUACAAUUAAGAGGUUUCGUCCAUCAUAUGUGGCUGUAUUGCAGGGCAGGGGCCAGUGUAAUCAGAAACACCCACAAAUAGAACUUUUUUAACGCAUGCGCUAACCAAUCCUUUUACAAGCCAACAUAGUAGCUGAUUAACAGUACUUGAACAUCCUCAUAAUUAUCAACAAAAAGGCCCUGAAUCCAGGAACUGGAAUUGGAUAUAAUCCACCAGCACACCUCAAGGAGACAAGGAGUCGCAAAAAUUGUAUCAUCUUUCAAUAGACAUGGAAAAACUGCGGUUUAUCUUCAUUCCACCUUAACUAGAGAAUAAAAAUGGAAAAUUUAUACCAAAACCAGAAAGUGAAAAAUGGCUUAGUGCUUUUCUUAGAUGUUUGAUAGGAACAGUGUUUUCACACCACAACAAGAAGAGCUUACAAAACUACAAAAAUGUUAAUCAUCCUACCAUCCAUGAAAAACAAUGCAGCAAGUACUCAUUUACUUGUUGAUAAAAUCUUUUAGAAUGUCACUUCUGUGCUCUAGAUUUGCAUUUCUUCGCCAAUUCUCAACUGCCCUACGAACUGUAGCAUUUGCCUCUUGUAUCUCCUCAGCAGAGAACUUGUGUUCCACUAUUCCCAAUGGUCCAGGCUGCAAAACCUUUAUCACAGUUUCCAUCUCUUGCUCAAGCUGCCUAUGCAAAGGAAAAAGAAAUGGAUUAGAGAUAUUUUGAAAAAUGAGAAUAAGGUCCUUGUAGAAGCAAAAGUUGUACAAACAAGAUAAACCCCAAAUGCAUAACUCAAUAACUUAAUGGUUAUGGAAAAGAAACUGCCAAAAUUUAUUCACUCUGUUGGGGAGGAGUGAAAGAGUUUUUUAAAGUGAGGUCAAGUAAGAUAAAGUAAUGGAAGGCAAAGUAUCAAAACUUCCUCAACCCACCGACUAAUUUAGUAGGUUGAAAAGUGAGGGUUUUGGAAGUUUAACCUUUCUAAGAAACUUUGCUCCCAAAGUCAUUAGUAUACAAGUUCACAAAAGCAGCAAACAAAAUGGAAGCUGUGACAACAAUUCAUAUCCAUUUAACUCACCAUCAUCACAAGAUGCCAUAAAACUAAUCCAACACUCAGUGUGAUGGCCCCAACUUCCCUUGGAGCCUACCACAUAGAUGGCAGAUCCGCAUUCUUGUUAGCAUCAAUUGUGAUAACCAUAAUCAAAAGUGUUCAAUUGAAUAUAAAUGGGACGUGCACUAAAGCACCUGAUCAAUUACAAGUUAAGAAGAAAUUAAAGCUACUUAGGCUAAAUCCCCUGCUGAGCCCCAGUUUCCAACGAAACAGAGGUUUGUUACGUAGUGAAGCAUGUAAAAUCACAAUCUCGACAUUUACCAAAAUUACAGGAAAGUAAUACAAUUAAUAAAUCCGAACAUCUUCAAAAUUAAGCAACUGAAGGUGAUCCUCCAACCUCUAAUUCCAAGAUUACAAAAUUCUCAAUGAAAUCGACGCACACAAACAAAGAAUGGCUGGCUAUUUACGAUUCAUCCGAAAAACAAAAACCCUAAUUGGCACAAACUAGAGAAGGAUAAGAAAUGUCACAAAAAGAACACAAAUGUAAUUUUUUACCUAAAGAUUCUUAAAAACGGCAAAGCAUUUCCUAUCCCAGAAAAAGAUACGCGCAUCUCUAUCUCCUUUUCCUCUGUACGAUGCGCCGUCGCUAUUCCAGAUUCACGAUGACAAGGAAGGGGCGGUCCUCAGGCGAGAUGGCUUUGCUUGACAAAUUGAAUCAGUGUUACGCUAACGAGUAACCACUAACGAUGGCGUGUCAGCCUCCCA